UCUUACAGAAAGGAAACAUAGAUUAGGGGACAUUUAACAGGAUGAACUAAGUCAACUUAGUUAACAUUAACUAAGAACUAAGAACCAAUUUGAACCUCCAAGAAUGGCCUUCCUGAGGAGUAACUCUAAAAUCAGACUGGAAAGACUGGCCAAUAUCUAAAACCCAGGGAAGGCAAGAAGAGUGACAUUCACACAUCACCACUGUUGAAGUCAUUGUCUCAGAAAACACCUGAGUAAAGAAAGUGAGCAGUGGAUGUCAAUCAUGAAGCCAGCACAGCUGUUUUGACAAGGUGGAAACAUCUAGUUCUACAAACUGUGAAGAUAUUAAGCUGACAUCUAUGGAAGAAGACAGAAUGUUCCCACAAUGUAGUGCACUUACUCAACUCAAUGCAAGAGAGAAAGCAGAUUCCAGAGAAGAACUAAAAGAACUACCUGUGAUGACCAGAAUGGGAAGAGAUUUUAGUACUUUCUCAAGAGAAUUUUAAAUGGUCAAAACUAUAAUAUAAGCUAUGGGCAGCUGUUUACAUGGCAACAGGCUCCAGGUGACAAAGAUCAGAGAUCCAGACUUGAAAAGCAGCUG